rnacentral:rRNA from 1 species
GCAGUCGAGCGGACAGAUGGGAGCUUGCUCCCUGAUGUUAGCGGCGGACGGGUGAGUAACACGUGGGUAACCUGCCUGUAAGACUGGGAUAACUCCGGGAAACCGGGGCUAAUACCGGAUGCUUGUUUGAACCGCAUGGUUCAAACAUAAAAGGUGGCUUCGGCUACCACUUACAGAUGGACCCGCGGCGCAUUAGCUAGUUGGUGAGGUAACGGCUCACCAAGGCAACGAUGCGUAGCCGACCUGAGAGGGUGAUCGGCCACACUGGGACUGAGACACGGCCCAGACUCCUACGGGAGGCAGCAGUAGGGAAUCUUCCGCAAUGGACGAAAGUCUGACGGAGCAACGCCGCGUGAGUGAUGAAGGUUUUCGGAUCGUAAAGCUCUGUUGUUAGGGAAGAACAAGUACCGUUCAAAUAGGGCGGUACCUUGACGGUACCUAACCAGAAAGCCACGGCUAACUACGUGCCAGCAGCCGCGGUAAUACGUAGGUGGCAAGCGUUGUCCGGAAUUAUUGGGCGUAAAGGGCUCGCAGGCGGUUCCUUAAGUCUGAUGUGAAAGCCCCCGGCUCAACCGGGGAGGGUCAUUGGAAACUGGGGAACUUGAGUGCAGAAGAGGAGAGUGGAAUUCCACGUGUAGCGGUGAAAUGCGUAGAGAUGUGGAGGAACACCAGUGGCGAAUGCGACUCUCUGGUCUGUAACUGACGCUGAGGAGCGAAAGCGUGGGGAGCGAACAGGAUUAGAUACCCUGGUAGUCCACGCCGUAAACGAUGAGUGCU